rnacentral:lncRNA from 1 species
UUGGGAGUGUGAUAUGAGUUUGCCUCCAUCCGCUAUUGGGAGAACACAAACUCAUCCCGUAGGAUAAAGCCUCUCCAUCCGCUGUUGGGGGAGUGCUCCUUUGGGUAUUUGAUAUACGCCAAUGGGAUGAUUGAUUGAAUUUUGAUCAUGUAUUUAUUUUGAUUUGACUUUUGGGGUUCCUACUCAGCAUUGCUGAAUUUUCUUUGUUUUUGAUUUUCAGAGCAGCCUCCCUCUAGUACUAAAUCGGAUUCCAAUGGAGAGCGAACCUUCCUCUACCGCUAGGUAGAGCCACUUGGAUGACUCUUGAAGUUAACUUUUCUAUUUGUAAUUUGAUGAAUAAAUGAAUUGUAAUAAAUGUUUAUAGAUGAUGAAUAAAGUGAUGUUUAUUUAUUUGGCCUGUGUGAAAAAAAAAAAAA